UGAAGGUAGUUUUCUGGUGCUGGCCCUUGUCUAUGUUCCUUGGAACAGGACGUCAUAGAGGGUGAGAAUCCCGUCUGAUGGGGUGUCCAGUGCUUUGUAGAUUUCUACCGAAGAGUCGAGUUGUUUGGGAAUGCAGCUCUAAGUGGGUGGUAAAUUCCAUCUAAAGCUAAAUACUGGCGAGAGACCGAUAGCGAACAAGUACAGUGAUGGAAAGAUGAAAAGAACUUUGAAAAGAGAGUGAAAAAGUACGUGAAAUUGUUGAAAGGGAAGGGUAUUGGAUCAGACUUGGUGUCUUGUGAUUAUCUUCCCUUCUUGGGUUGUGCACUCGCAUUUCACUGGGCCAGCAUCGGUUCGGAUGGCAAGAUAAUGGCUUGGGAAUGUGGCACUCUUCGGAGUGUGUUAUAGCCCUUGUUGAUGUUGCCUAUCUGGACCGAGGACUGCGGCUUUUGCCUAGGAUGCUGGCGUAAUGAUUCAAUACCGCCCGUCUUGAAAACACGG
rnacentral:rRNA from 1 species